AUGGGUCAAGUGAUACUAUGUGCAUCGAUUUUUGCCAAUGUAGAACAACCUUUGUUCUGUCAGUGUGCCCGGCGCCGACAUGGCUUCUCGGGCCGCCUCAGCAGGUACAGUGGCGGCGAUCAUUGCCUCUUCUUCUUCUUCCUGUGUGCAGAGGCAGAUACAGUGGCGGCGAUUGACAUCGAGGGGGGCGGAGGAGCACCCAGAAAAUUUGAACAGAGGGAGAAAGAGGGUAUGUGGGUUUCAGAGGAAGCAGAGGGUGUAACGCCACCUGCAUAUAUGGACGUACCAAAUCCAGCCGAAGUUUCAAAUUCAAGAGGAUUUUGGCAACAUAUAUAUAUAGUAGUCAUUUGA
rnacentral:rRNA from 1 species